rnacentral:rRNA from 1 species
GAUGAACGCUGGCGGCGUGCCUAAUACAUGCAAGUCGAGCGAACAGACGAGGAGCUUGCUCCUCUGACGUUAGCGGCGGACGUGUGAGUAACACGUGGAUAACCUACCUAUAAGACUGGGAUAACUUCGUGAAACCGGAGCUAAUACCGGAUAAUAUAUUGAACCGCAUGGUUCAAUAGUUAAAGACGGUUUUGCUGUCACUUAUAGAUGGAUCCGCGCCGCAUUAGCUAGUUGGUAAGGUAACGGCUUACCAAGGCAACGAUGCGUAGCCGACCUGAGAGGGUGAUCGGCCACACUGGAACUGAGACACGGUCCAGACUCCUACGGGAGGCAGCAGUAGGGAAUCUUCCGAAAUGGGCGAAAGCCUGAAGGAGCAACGCCGCGUGAGUGAUGAAGGUCUUCGGAUCGUAAAACUCUGUUAUUAGGGAAGAACAAAUGUGUAAGUAACUAUGCACGUCUUGACGGUACCUAAUCAGAAAGCCACGGCUAACUACGUG